rnacentral:rRNA from 1 species
GUAACACGUAUACAAUCUGCCUUUUACUGGGGGAUAGCCUUUCGAAAGAGAGAUUAAUACCCCAUAAUAGAUUGCUCGGCAUCGAGUGAUUUUGAAAGCUCCGGCGGUAAGAGAUGAGUAUGCGUCUGAUUAGCUAGUAGGUGAGGUGACGGCUCACCUAGGCAACGAUCAGUAGGGGAUCUGAGAGGACUAACCCCCACACGGAUACUGAGACACGGAUCCGACUCCUACGGGAGGCAGCAGUAAGGAAUAUUGGACAAUGCCCGCAAGGGUGAUCCAGCCAUGCCGCGUGCAGGAAGACGGCCCUAUGGGUUGUAAACUGCUUUUAUACAAGARAAAACCCAUCUACGUGUAGAUGGCUGAUAGUAUUGUAGGAAUAAGCAUCGGCUAACUUCGUGCCAGCAGCCGCGGUAAGACGAAGGAUGCAAGCGUUAUCCGGAUUCAUUGGGUUUAAAGGGAGCGUAGGCGGUCUUAUAAGUCAGUGGUGAAAGCUCCUCGCUUAACGAGGAAAUUGCCAUUGAUACUGUAGGACUUGAGUACAGUUGCCGUUGGCGGAAUAUGACAUGUAGUGGUGAAAUACAUAGAGAUGUCAUAGAACACCGAUUGCGAAGGCAGCUAACGAAACUGUAACUGACGCUGAGGCUCGAAAGUGCGGGGAUCAAACAGGAUUAGAUACCCUGGUAGUCCGCACUGUAAACGAUGAUUACUCGCUGCUUGAGGGCAACUUUUAGUGGCUUAGCGAAAGCGAUAAGUAAUCCACCUGGGGAGUACGCCGGCAACGGUGAAACUCAAAGGAAUUGACGGAGGCCCGCACAAGCGGAGGAGCAUGUGGUUUAAUUCGAUGAUACGCGAGGAAC